AACGAACGCUGGCGGCAUGCCUAACACAUGCAAGUCGAACGAGACCUUCGGGUCUAGUGGCGCACGGGUGCGUAACGCGUGGGAAUCUGCCCUUGGGUUCGGAAUAACAGUUGGAAACGACUGCUAAUACCGGAUGAUGACGUAAGUCCAAAGAUUUAUCGCCCAGGGAUGAGCCCGCGUAGGAUUAGCUAGUUGGUGGGGUAAAGGCCUACCAAGGCGACGAUCCUUAGCGGGUCUGAGAGGAUGAUCAGCCACACUGGGACUGAGACACGGCCCAGACUCCUACGGGAGGCAGCAGUGGGGAAUAUUGGCCAAUGGGCGAAAGCCUGAUCCAGCAAUGCCGCGUGAGUGAUGAAGGCCUUAGGGUUGUAAAGCUCUUUUACCCGGGAUGAUAAUGACAGUACCGGGAGAAUAAGCCCCGGCUAACUCCGUG
rnacentral:rRNA from 1 species